AAGAUGAUGUUUUAAGAAUGAAAAAUAAUAAAUUAAUGGCUCUAGCUUUUAGAAUUGGCAUUUCUAGGAUAGAAUAGAUGACUCAAAUAAAUAGGCAAAAGUGUCUUCAUAUUACACAACAAUCUCCUCUCGCCAGUUCUCAAUUCUGACAUAUCUAUAUGUAAGUUUCUCUACCUUCUCAUUCAUUUAUUUUUUCUGGACAUUUAUUUAUUCCUUCAACAUGCUAUAAUUUUCUAUUUUUUUUUUAGUUAAUAUGCACUUUUUGAUAGAAUGGAUAAUUUUAAUUUGAAUUCAGCAUGUGGUUUAGAAAAAUUUAUCUAUAUUGUGUAUUUUGCUCUCUGGGAAUGAAGUUCAUGCGUUGGCCAAACGCCAUGAAUUUUUCGAUCAGUUGACGACCAUCUUAGAUGGUAACACGCAUACAAAAAUUAAUAUAUUGAAGCAUUUUCGAUCUCUUUGACAUCGAUAUUUUCGUUGAAUUUUGAAGCAAAAAUGAAGAUGAAGUUUAGAAUUUUGGAGGAAUAGAUAAACGACGGCGAUGAGGCGGCAUGAGGAGGCUAAACUACUAGGAGUGUAGAUUUGAAGGGGUAAGAUAUUAGGAUUUGGGAGUAGAUAUGUAUAUAUGUUGAAAACAGAUGGGCCUUUAAUCAUUACUAGCAAAAUGUGAACUUUGGUCCUUAUACUAUUGAGUAUUGACAAACCAUUAUCAUAUGUUCUUUUUAGUUGUCAUACCAAAUUUUGCGAUCUGCUCAAUUUUUCUUUAAAAUAUUUUGCAUAAUUAUUUAAAAACUAAUUUAAUAUAUAUGUCUUUAAAUAUCUACUUUGCAGUUUCAUCUCUUCGGCGAUAGUCAUUUGAACGUCCGUGUCUAUAUUUGACUGUGUAGUAAAUACAACUUAUUUAAUUUCUUUAUUAAAUUAUAAAUACUCUUAUUCAUGAUUUCUUUAUAAUAUAAAACAUGAAAUACUUAUUUUUCUCUGUUAAUGGGUGUGUCUUAUAUUUUUUUAAAGUCACAUGCCUCGCAUAAAUAUAAUUAUCACUUGAUAUGAAUGUGUAAUGAACUUUUACUUUGUUUUUUCAAGCAUUCAUAAAAAAUAUUUGGACAACAAAAAAAUGUCGUGUAGUAGAGAUUCUAAAACUGAUCAAACUUUUAAAAAAACAAAUAUCAACAAAAAUGAUAGAAAACAUAAAUUAUAUAGACUGAUGACACUUGAGAAAAAAAGAGGCCCCUUUGGCACAUUGACGAAUAAGAACAGCAGAGUUGAAAAGACAUGGAUUGUCAGAAGGUUCAACUAACAAUGAUUUGGCUUCUGCAUCGUUUUCCAGUUCUAUUAAUGUUUUUGCUGAACAAAGAUAUCUUUUUAAAAAAGAAUAAACACUUCCAUCAGUAUCAGGAUUAAAUUAUUGUGUGACAUAGUAAAUGCAUACCAAAUUAUUAUGAAUUUUUGAUAAAUCAAUGUUAACAAAAAUUAGAAUACGUUACUAUAUGUUGUCUUACCCAAGGAGUCUCAUCAAAAUGCCUACUUUUUUAAGUUGAUUUUUCACAAAUAUAGUUCACAAUAUCUUAGGUAAUUGAAUCUUUUAUCCUAAUAGAUUUUGUGUUUGUCUUCUUUGAAUAAAAAAGUCUUAUCAUAUUUUGUAUUGGAUGAAAUCUCAACACAUCCUUCAAGGAUAACACUUUAAUGUGAUUCAUGAUUUGUGAAUCCUGGUUAGAAAGAGAUGCAUUCUUUCAAUGGAAAAAAGGUGUUUACAUUUAGAUUUUGAACUUCUAAACUAAUUUAAUCAUUAAAUUUAAUUUAACAAAUAUUGAUCAUGAAUGUUCAAGAGAUUGAACACAACAGGAACGAAAAAUGUAUCCACUAUUGUAGAAUUUAUAAAUGCAUAUGUACCAAUGUAAAUAGACAAAAAUCACUAUAAUAUGUGAAUGUCAUGUGAGCAUCCAAUAGUAUGAUAUUCCCACAGUUGUAUAAAGGGGAAAGGAUAUGGAUUGACUAUUUUUUUUAAAAAAGCCCACAAUUUGAAAAUAUGGACAACUGUAGCCAGUCGGCCCAAUUUGAUUUUCUUUUUUAGCAAUUUGGCCCAAUCGGGCCACAUGCAGUCUCUGUACUCAAUUGAUACACUUUUAUACCACAUUGAUACACUUUUUAAAAAAGAGAAAGCAAAUUCUAUGCAAGCACAUCCAAUCCCUAUACCAAUUGAUACUCUUUUAUACCAUAUUAGUAUAUUUUUAUAUAACAUUGAUACACUUGCAGUGUCCAUAUACUCAAUUGAUA
rnacentral:lncRNA from 1 species